UCGUUGACACUCACUAAAUAUUUUUACUUUCCAAUAAUUAUGACGAUUAGUGUCUCUCAGGGCUCAAACCUCCAAAGUUAUUCUUUUACUCGUAUCGAGAAUGGGAUUUCAGUGGGCACUUUACCGUUUUCAGGCGGUGGACGUGUCGUCGUCGACACAGACCGCAGAAGCAUUUCAUUAAACCCAAACGAUAACAGUAUUUUUUGUAUGUUCAACAUAACAUUUGAAGUGGACAUGACAGCAACCAGCGGUCAACAAUCGGAGACUCUUAAGGUCACAAUUGACGACGAAUACAUAUUGGAAAUGUCAUUUCCCACUGGAUCAGGGAAAAAUAUCGUCAGCGAUAUUAAUGCUAUUCGGCAACACUUCAAUCUUCCACCACAAUUGCAAUAAAAGUACUACCUAUGAGAAGGAUCAACUUGUACAAUCAUGUCUAUCCGUAAAAAUCAAUCUGCAUCAUCAUGUUACAUAUAACAGGGAGCAUGAAAUUAUUUGUUUUUGUAAUUAAAUAGUAAACGGUAAUUGAAUUUGUAAUUGAAUAGUAUAGCGAGCACUUUUUAUCUUUAGAUGAUUUGAUAAGUAUUUAUAAUGAUCUUAUUCUGAAAAUUGUAAUUUCUCGUGUUAAAAAAUUGGAGCUACUAUUUUCUGUCAAAUAGUUUAUAAUAAUUGUAUCUCUAGAAUGUUGUGCGACUCCGGGAAGUCAGGUCUUUACGAUAUUUAUAGAUUUAUAACCAUUUGGAAACUGCAAAUAAUUUUUCAAGGGUUUUGUGAUACAUAAUUUUCACCGAUUUCACACCGAUUUCACACCGAUUUUAGUUUUUGCUACUUUUAAUAUAAUUAUAUUACCGUUA